rnacentral:rRNA from 1 species
UGCAAGUCGAGGGGCAGCACAUGAAGUAGCAAUACGGAUGGUGGCGACCGGCGCACGGGUGAGUAACGCGUAUGCAACCUGCCUACAACAGGGGGAUAACCCGUUGAAAGACGGACUAAUACCUCAUAAUACAGGGGUUCCGCAUGGGAAUAUUUGUUAAAGAUUAAUCGGUUGUAGAUGGGCAUGCGUUCCAUUAGCUGGUUGGAGAGGUAACGGCUCACCAAGGCAACGAUGGAUAGGGGAACUGAGAGGUUUAUCCCCCACACUGGUACUGAGACACGGACCAGACUCCUACGGGAGGCAGCAGUGAGGAAUAUUGGUCAAUGGACGCAAGUCUGAACCAGCCACGUCGCGUGAAGGAAGACGGCCCUACGGGUUGUAAACUUCUUUUUGUAAGGGAAUAAAGUGAGUCACGAGUGACUUUUUGCAUGUACCUUACGAAUAAGGAUCGGCUAACUCCGUGCC